rnacentral:lncRNA from 1 species
CCCAAGAGCUGCCAUUGGAGUUAGGAGAGCACACGCUCAAAGCAUUGAGUGUUUUUGUUGUGCAUUGCUGAAGUACAAAGGAAUAAUCUUUGGGCCUUAUGUCUCCUUGUGCCAUGGGCAGGCCAGCGUGCCUUGAGAGAUUGUGCAGAACACUUCAUUACAACAAAAAAAUGAGGUAUUUUCACAGCAUCGUUCCAGCAGCAGGAUUGCAGGACUGCAUCCUCCCAGAAGAAAGGCAGUGGUUUGAUCAGACUCCAGUGAAGACCAUGAGCAUCCAAGCAUUGAGGGCCUGCUCGGCUUCCCUGGCAUAGCUUUAAAAUCAAAUUCAGCCGGUCAGGCCAAGUGUCUGAUCAAGAGAUGUUCUGUAGCACUUUCUUUUAUCUCCUUCCCAUAAGAGACAGCUGCAAAGCCACUAUUUAAAGUCAAUAAAAGAAUACAGUUGCUUGUGAUCA